rfam:Karshi virus strain WJQ16209 polyprotein gene, complete cds
GAGGGGCAUGCUGGCAGCACACCAUUGGUGACGGGACUAGGUCGACCCCGCCAGUAGGCUCCUCAAAGACAAAAUGUGAGACCAA